rnacentral:tRNA from 2 species
GGAAAGGUGGGUGAGCUGGUUUAAACCAACGGGUUGCUAACUCGUCGUGCGUCGAAAGAUGUACCGAGGGUUCGAAUCCCUCCCUUUCCGCCA